AAUCGAACAAGGUCUCCGUAGGUGAACCUGCGGAGGGAUCAUUAC
rnacentral:rRNA from 1 species